rnacentral:lncRNA from 1 species
UAAUUGGUCCCCUAGAUCUAUUAGGGUGUGGGGACUGAUGUUCAAGAAAUCCAGGAGCAUGCGAAUCCAUAAAUGGACUACCAGUGGAACCGAAUAAGCUUGACUCAAACAUGUUGCCAAAUGGGCGUGUGAAGAAGGGGUCAUCAAAUGGAUCUUUCCCACUGAAAAAGCUUGACAUUAGGCUUCUUUGACCUCCAAAGCCACCGAAAUUACCAAAACCAAAGAAAGGAUCCCUGCCUCCAUCCAUUCUCUAGUUGCUAAUUGCCUGAAAAUUAACAUGGCAACUUACAAAUAUCAAAGAACAAGUCUAGGAAAACCUGUCGCGAAAUUAGGAAAAUGCCAGUUCUUACAACAACAAUUUUAUCACAAUACACAUUUUCUGAAAUUCAUUUUCAUCAAAAUCCUAACAAACCUACACACAUCCCAUGCACAUCACUAACUGUACCUUCGAAUAGAAAAUAAAGGAUGAAUAUUGGAACUCCAUAAAGUCUUUUGAACUGCAAGAUACUAAGCUCAGUAAAAAAGAGUAUUUUCCAUGAAAUCUAGCUUUCACUACUCCUGCUAUGGAUGUGGGAGCUCAAUUCCAUUCCCGUGGGCUUUUGAGAAGAGCCAAGUAUGUUUACAUGCAACCCUAGGAAAUAUUAGCCUACAAAAUGCAGCACACAGUAGCAUAGCAUCUCGAGUUCAUUUUACUAAUAGUCUGUGCCAUCAUUUUGUCUCUUGUCAAAGUCCAUUACUAAUACCGCUGCACAAAUUUUUAGCUCUUGAAAUACGUCAAGAGUAAUUAGACAAUAUGAUUAAUCUGCACUUUCAUUUCCAGAAUGUUGAACAUCAUGGUUCCUCAAUCCUCAAGGAUGAUCAGAAGAUGAAUGAUAAUUAUAGAAAGCCAGCUACAGCCAGACACAACUAGAGCAUCAAAAGAGAAAGAACAAACUUCAGAAACAAAAGAAUACCAGUUAAUGAAAUUAUUUCAAUGCCCAAGAAGGGAACAAAAGAAACGUCUACACUAAUUCAGGCCAUUCAACCAAAUAUGCAUAUUUAGACUACAUUUUUAUUUAGUUCUUCAUCUUUCUACAGAACAAUCUAGUCCCCAUCUCCGAAAUCAAGCCAUGUCAUCUUUCCAUUUAAAAACACAAAUAUAUCUUGCAGCAUCAAACUCCUAAAAUUUCUUCGCACAAUUAAAAUAUUUAACUCAGGCAUUCUAGAUGAAAAUAUAUGAAUUCAUAAUUCAGAUAAGUAAGUGGAAGAAUGAGUCAUGAAGAACAUCAAAAGACCAGAGAUAACACCUUCUCAUGUAUCCCCCUUGACAGCAUAUGAGAUGCUUGACGUGUAGAUGAAUUGGCUUCUUUGCGCUCUUCCAUUGUUAACUGUAGACCACCAAAUAUAUAAACGGAGCAGAAUUAAACAACCAAGCCCAAUAGAAAAUCUAAAAAGAGAAUCAAUUUAACUUGAAUUCUGCUUACUCCAUCACUACCCGUCCUCCUGGUUCUAGAUGAAGUGCGAUAUGCACCAUUUGCACCACCGUAAGUAGCAGUGGAGCUAUGGAAAGUGAAGCUGCUUGUUUGGGGCCGUGGCCUUACAUUUUGCAUCUGGUAAAAAUCAUUUCUAGGAGUCAUUUGCUUACUUUUUCUCUCUGCAACGACCAUACAUAGACCCAUUUCAAUCAAAACAUUCUGAAUAUCAAUGUAAUGUUACCAAAUCCCCUCAAAGCUAAAUAAACACAACUCACCAGUAACUUCAUCAUCUGGAUCCUCAACAAAAGGCUCUGUGCUAGACCUCCCAUGCUUUCUUGGAUUAUCCUUCUUGUCCUUUCCACUUUCUUUUCCUUCGUUUUCAUCAUCAGAGUUCAACUCUUCAAUAAUUGGUCCCCUAGAUCUAUUAGGGUGUGGGGACUGAUGUUCAAGAAAUCCAGGAGCAUGCGAAUCCAUAAAUGGACUACCAGUGGAACCGAAUAAGCUUGACUCAAACAUGUUGCCAAAUGGGCGUGUGAAGAAGGGGUCAUCAAAUGGAUCUUUCCCACUGAAAAAGCUUGACAUUAGGCUUCUUUGACCUCCAAAGCCACCGAAAUUACCAAAACCAAAGAAAGGAUCCCUGCCUCCAUCCAUUCUCU